rnacentral:rRNA from 1 species
UAAACCAUGCACCGAAGCUGCGGCAGCGACACUAUGUGUUGUUGGGUAGGGGAGCGUUCUGUAAGCCUGCGAAGGUGACCUGUGAGGGUUGCUGGAGGUAUCAGAAGUGCGAAUGCUGACAUAAGUAACGAUAAAGCGGGUGAAAAGCCCGCUCGCCGGAAGACCAAGGGUUCCUGUCCAACGUUAAUCGGGGCAGGGUGAGUCGACCCCUAAGGCGAGGCCGAAAGGCGUAGUCGAUGGGAAACAGGUUAAUAUUCCUGUACUUGGUGUUACUGCGAAGGGGGGACGGAGAAGGCUAUGUUAGCCGGGCGACGGUUGUCCCGGUUUAAGCAUGUAGGCUGAUUAUCCAGGCAAAUCCGGAUAAUCAAGGCUGAGGUGUGAUGACGAGGCACUACGGUGCUGAAGUAACAAAUGCCCUGCUU